UGAAGGCGCCUUUUAUAGCCUUGCAGGAGGGGGCGUGGCCCCUCCUUUCCUAUUGGUUCUUCGGCCACAAAGGGAAAAAACUCGGUGCCAGCUGAUUGGUUCUGGUUCUGGGGAAAAUAGCAAGUGGCCCCCACGUGGGGCGGGGGAAGUUUUGCAAGGGGUGGAUUUGCUUAAAAAAAAAAAAAAAAACGCACUAGAGAGAGAGUUUCGAUUGAAAUUUCCCAGCAGUUUUUGUUCCUGUGCUGGGCAGAGGCAUGGGAUUUCCACAGAGCUCUGGGCGUGCAGCUGAACUUGGCAAGCUGCUUUGUCCAGGGGAAAACAAACCUGGGCGAGAUCCCUUGCUGGAGAAUUCGGAGGGGCUAUUUUUAGAGGAAAGAAGUAUCCCAAGGGUUUGAAUUAAAAUGCAUGCCCUGGAAAUCCCCCACCCCACCGCACCCCACCUUUCCCAAGGACCCCCCCGGCCAUCCUUCCCCGGGCUUGGUCUGCAGCUGUUCGGGGACAAAAAUCACAUCCAGGCGAGGAUGCAUUUUGCAAAGGAAAAGUAGGGACAUUAUGCAAAGGGAGAAUUCUUAUUGUCUUCCACUCCGGAGCAAAUUCCGAGAUGCUGGAGUUGGGGGAGGGGGGUGGUGGUGUCUAUAUUCCUAGGACUGAACUCUGGAGCUGCAAAAAGCAAACGUGUCUAGUGAAUGCCCUGCUCUGCAAGGGCACUUUUCCUCCCCUCUCCCCCAUUUGAGCAGGGCGAUACCCGUUCCACCUCGUAGGCAGAAAACGAAGAGCACCCAGCUGUGUGUUGUGUAGGCGGCGGAGGGGAAAGGAUGAGUUAAUCAUGAGGUUUUCGAGCCAGUCAUGGUUUCUGCAGCUUGCAAAAACGUUGUGACUCGUUUCACAACAACCCCUGCAGCGUGCAUCAUGUUUCCUUGGCUGGGACCUUUCUAGGUUGUCCUCUCUUUUCCUCUUCUGCAAGGCGGCUCAGACCCCAGGUGCGGGGCCGUGCAAACUUUAUCAGCGCCGCUUCUGAUGCACACGCCUGCUGGCUGCAGACAAGGCUCGCUCCAGGCUCGCGUUCACCGCGGGCGCUGCUUGGGUGGCAAGAUUUAUUUCAGGCAGAGAAUGAACCAACCUUCAAAUCCCUCUCAAACCCGGGAACUCAAACAAGACACCGUGUACUUUCCCGAGCAGCUGAGCUGCCAGGGAACUAGCAGGGAACGCCGCUGGCCUUCAGCUUGAAUGCAUUUCCCAAAGCGAGCUCGGGGGGGUUGCGAGGUUCGCGUAACAUUCCGCUCUGCAAAGCAGGUGGGAGGGCAAGCCUGGAGCCUGAACUUUUGCAGAGGAUCGUGGCACUUCGAAGUGACUUUCCUGAGCCAGGCCGCGUUGCGCUAGGCGCUGGACAGACACAGAGUACUGCUGUCUCCAAGCGUCCCAAAAUCUGGAGUCGCCUCCCACCGCCUCCAAAUCACGAGAUUGACUUAAAAAUCACAAGAUCUUUUUCGUUUGGCUCCUGGGCUGGGAGCCUGCAGGGGCCACAUGUUUGAGCUUUUCUCUGCCACCGGGUGGGCUGCAAAGGUCUGAGCUGAGACUCAGCACAUCACGCUAUGUCCCCGUCUCCGAGCGCACAGGAUGCUGCACGGUACACCCUGCCAUUCGUAAAGCUGUCCCACGGCUGGGCCCAGAAGAAGUCACGGACUGGAGAAACAUUGGCACUUUGAAAAAGAACAGAGCUGAGGGGUUUUCCAGGUUCUCAGACUUAUUUGCUUCAAUUUUGACUUUGGUUUCCGAGGGAAAGGGAAUUUCUGCCUCAUAAGCACAUAAGAGCUGCUGUCCUGGGUCAGACCCGUGCUCCAUCUGGCCCAGUCUCCUGUUUCCUAGAGCGGCCGGUACCAGAGCUUCCUGGGGAAUGCCCAGAAUAGGGCAAUUCUGGAGCCAUCACCCCCUGAGUUCCCCUCCUGAUUUCGGGCAGUCAGAGGUUUUGGGUCACCCCCCUUGGCUGGUGGCCAUCGGUGGAGCUCGUUUGAACCCUGUUAUACUUUAACCAUCACAGUAUCCCACUGACAGUUUGUUCCAUGCAAACGGGAAAGGACAUCCCCAUUGUGGUGAGGGCAGGGGUCAAUUGUUCUCUCUGGCCACCGAGAACAGGACAAGAAGUAAUUGGUUUAUUUUGCAGCAAGGGAGAUUUAGGUUAGAUAUUAGGAAAAUCUUUCUAGCUAGAAGGCUAGUUAAGCCUUAGGGAGGUUGUGGAAUCACCAUCAUUGGAGGAUUUUAAGCCCAGGUUGGACAAACACCCGUCAGGGACAGUCUAGGUUUCCUUGGUCCUGCCUCAGUGCUGGUGGCUGGAUUUGAUGACGUCUUGAGGUCCCUUCCAGCCCUGCAUGUCUGUGAUUCUGUUCUGUGACGUGGAUACAAAUCAUUUCCCAGCUGAUUGCAAGGCAGUCGGGGAAAUGGACCAAUCAGUGCAAACCACCAGCAUAGCAACGUUGACACCCCCAGAGCGCUGGCGAAUUCCUCCCACUGUGGAGCUUGCCCGGGAUUUUUAAAAGCCGCAGCUGGUCUCUUGUGUUUUGCUAGAGCUGAUUGGGACCCACAUAUCCAAACAUCUCACCCUAAGUGGGUCGGAAGUCCAGCAGAACUGAUGUCUCCCUCCCCUGGCUGUUGAUUGCGGAAUGGGCCAGUGCCUCUGGUGGCAUUUUCAGCACAUGUCAGAGUUUCAGUAUUAAAGCUGGGUGGAGAGGCCCCGAUGGGGAUCAGGGUCCUGGUGUGCCUGGCCCUACACAGAUCCAUGGUAAGAGACAGUUCCUGCCCUGAGGAGUCUGUGAUCUAUCUAAAUAGCCAAGACAGAUGAAGCAUGGGAAGAAAGGAUGGAUUAUUAUCCCCAGUUCCAAGCAGGGAAGCUGAGACAAAGAGACUUGGCCAAAGUCACGUGGGCAGAACCAGGAAGGGAACCCAGCUAUCCCGGGUCCCAGCCUGGAGCCACAGCCAGAGCCGCCUUCUCUUGAUUCAGUUCAGCUUUGCUAAUAUUUGCACAAAACGAUCUGCCUGCAGCAGAGUGCUGGCCCGGUUCUAGUUCCCGAAAGCGUCCUCAUUUCUUCCAGAAAAGAAGGGCUGGUUCCACACCUCGUCCAGACCCUGCUGAGCCGAACAACCAUUGUUCAGAGAGGAACUGAAAAUAUCAUUCACGGCUCACGUGGCAGCUUGGUAAAGGCCUGGAGGCUGAUCUCAGUUACCCCGGUGCAAAGCCGGAGUCACCCCCCUGACCCCUCUGGAAGGAGUCAUUAGUGCAAUUGCAUUGUUAUGAAAUAUCCAUUAUCAGAAUCAUGAGCCAUUGUUUCCUGGUCUGUGGUUACUUCAGGCAGUCACAAGUUUAUAAGCAGAAAUUGCUCAAGACCUCAACAUAAAAAUCUCACUUUGUGCCUGUGCUGCUCCUGGGUACGUUUGUAUCAACCCCUCAUGGCAGCACCAAGCACUAAGUAUUUUAAUCUCAACUAAAAUUCCCACUGCAUUCAGUUCAAAUAAGUCUUCAAAAUGUACAUGGAUUCUCACCUUUACUCCAUGGCCGACAUCAUCCAGCACGGUAUAGUCGGCAGGUUUUCAAAUAUACCUUACAGGACGCUCCAUGUUUGCCGGCACUCUAAUUUUAUGAGUUCUUGAUGUGUUCUUAUUGGUUGUCAAAAUACCUCUCUCUGCGAGGCGCUUUCUCUUUAUGGAUGGUCACAGUCUUAACUCUUUGCUGACUGUGACUAUCCACAGGGGAGGGAUAGUUCACUGGUUUGAUCAUUGGCCUGCUAAACUCAGGGUUGUGAGUUUAAUCCUCAAGGGGGCCAUUUAGGGAUUUAGUUGGGGUUGGUCCUGCUUUGGGUAGGGGGUUGGACUAGAUACCUCCUGAGGUCCCCUUCAACCCUGCUAUUCUAUAGUCCAGCCUAACUGAGAUUAGCCUCUGGCCUCAAGGAGAGUAAAUCAACAUGGCCAUCUGUGGAUUCCAUUUCAAAACCAGCUGUGAGACCACUGGGAACAACCUGCAGCUGCCUCAGGAGGAUCACACUGAGGACCUUAGGCAGCACACCAGGAACUUCAGCAAGUCAUUGGGACAAUCCAACUCCUGCCAGUCAGCUGAAAACCAGCUGCACCAAGCAAGGGUGAGAGACUGGGACAGCGGCAUCUGCUCCACAAACCGUCUCCUGGCUGUGUCUGCAGUUAUUCUGAUUGCUCAGAACCUGGCAGGCAAGGAUAAAAUCAUGACUCCAAUCAAUUACACUUGAAAUAAAUAUUUAUGGCUCAUUAUUUUUUGGCAGGGAAGAGUAAAAAACCUGUCCCCGGCUCGUGAAAGGAAAUUAGUUGUUGAUUAGUAUUUAGAUUAGCACACGGUGCGGAGUUUAAUGAAGAGCAGUCGUUUCAAAUGGUGCAGUUUCUGUGCGUGUAUGGAAAACUCAUCUAAAAUAUGGGCUUGUGUGGAGGUAGGAGACCAAAGAGAGCAGAGUUAUUGGGCCUGUUCUCCGCUGACCUGCCCCGUGGGCGAGUAUUUACACUAUUGCAAAACAGAGGUGACACGCUGCCAGUAAGCCAGUUUGCACGAAUGUAAGUGACUACACCAGGUGCAAGGAAAUUGAGGAGUCCCAAUCUAGCCAGCGAUCCCCAGUGUUUGCUGAUUUCUGGGAGCCAAACUGAGACGCCAUUUCUCCCAACAGUUCUGAGUUUGGAGGGAUUGUCCCACUUUGACCCUCCCCACCCUCUCUUCUGGUUGAAGCGGAACAUUUCCCGCAUUAUGCUUGCUGUGUUAAAGUAGAAUCAGUUACUAUGAGUGAAUGAAAAUACAAUUCUAACGGAGGGUGCAAGCAUAGUCACAAAGCGGUAUUUCACUUGUGCGAAGUCACAACUUCACGUGUUUCUCUUGGGUGGUGUGAUGAAGUGGGAAAGUUCUUAAUGUUUUCUCUGAAUACUGUGUGGGUGCCUCGGUUUCCCCUAUGUGUUUCUUAAGUAUCUAGGUGGUGCGAUAAGGGUGUGUGAUUGUUGCAGAGCCCUAGAGGGCUAGUGUGAUGCUGUCUGCACAGAGAAUUGCUGACACUCUGUCUCCCGGUAACUGAUGGCCUGGGCCCCUCUCCUGCAAAGGUGCCAACUGAAGGGGUUGGAGAACAAAGAGGUCAGGUGACCUCCUGGCCCGGGGAAAGAGACAAAGGCAGAGGAGGGGCUAGAGAGUUUCAGUUUGGAGCUGGCUGGGGAAAUGGAGGGGGGCCAGACGGGGCUCUGGCCUCCCUGGCCUCAAGAUGGACCUGACUGAGGGGUCCUGUUGUCUAUACUUACAAGCUCUGUUUUGGACCG